rnacentral:tRNA from 1 species
GCGGGUGUAGUUCAAUGGUAGAACACCAGUCUUCCAAGCUGGAUACCCGGGUUCGAUUCCCGGUACCCGCUCCA